GACGAACGCUGGCGGCGUGCCUAAUACAUGCAAGUCGAGCGAAUCAAUGGGAGCUUGCUCCCUGAGAUUAGCGGCGGACGGGUGAGUAACACGUGGGUAACCUGCCUGUAAGACUGGGAUAACUUCGGGAAACCGGAGCUAAUACCGGAUACGUUCUUUUCUCGCAUGAGGAGAGAUGGAAAGAUGGUUCUGCUAUCACUUACAGAUGGACCCGCGGCGCAUUAGCUAGUUGGUGAGGUAACGGCUCACCAAGGCGACGAUGCGUAGCCGACCUGAGAGGGUGAUCGGCCACACUGGGACUGAGACACGGCCCAGACUCCUACGGGAGGCAGCAGUAGGGAAUCUUCCGCAAUGGACGAAAGUCUGACGGAGCAACGCCGCGUGAGCGAAGAAGGCCUUCGGGUCGUAAAGCUCUUUAAGUCGGGAGGAAGGGCUGUAGGUUAAUACCUUGCAGCCUUGACGUUACCGACAGAAUAAGCACCGGCUAACUUCGUGCCAGCAGCCGCCGUAAGAC
rnacentral:rRNA from 1 species